rnacentral:tRNA from 1 species
AUUCAACUACAAAAACA